GGGGUUGUGGCUCAGUUGGAUAGAGCAAGCGCCUCCUAAGCGCUAGAUCGGCGGUUCAAGUCCGCCCAAUCCCG
rnacentral:tRNA from 1 species